rnacentral:lncRNA from 1 species
AUGGAGCCUCAUCACCGCCGCUGUUUAAAAGCCCAACGCGCCUCUCCUCGGGAGACCGGUCUCUUCCCCGUGCAUGCACACUGGUGUCCUCGUGGGUCCAGGAAGGGUGCGUUGAGGGACUCCCGCGCCAUCAGAGACGUGAGCUGCCGGACCCGCGGUCCGGAUGAGGACCGCACCCGUUCACACGGCCAUCAGGCCAAAAUGCCAGGCUGUCCAUCCCCUGAAGGCGCCGCGUCCAAUGAGAAGGACCCAAGAGGGGAGCGCGUGCGGCCACCGGACUCCGCCCCUUACCUGGACCCUUCCCUCCGUGAACACUGCCAGACCCCCACGAACCCCGCAGCACGACGAGGACACCAGAUUCCCUGUUGUUUUGGACACUCUUCCCCUUUUGGACACUUUAUUUCCUCUUUUUGGUUUUUCUGUUAAAUAAAAACCUCUUCUAGGCCUGAUGCCAUGCCCACUGUGUCUGUCGUUGGCUCCUCCCGUCACAGUGGUGGAGAAUGCAGGCAAGGUGGAGCCUAGACAGCGCAGUUGGGAAACACCUGAUGACGUCACUCCCUCUCGUUUGUAAAAGUUCGCGUAAACCCGGACUGGGACGGAGGAACGGAGGAGACGGCCUCCUAGCCACACAAAGGGGUAAGUGACUUCUCUUUUACGGUCAUUUUACCCUGUGGUUGGUUGAGGCUGUCGACUAAAACCCGGUUUCUCUGUCCCUGUUCCGGCGCGCUGCGAGAGGGAGGACUGCCCGGAGAAGAAUCCCCGCCCCGCCCACUCCGACCGUUUGGAGCCUGGUUGAGGAAGGUAGCACUCCCGUGUGGGCUGCGCACUGAGGACGGGGAUGUUGCUUGGGGGGGGAUGUGAUGAGUCAGCUGCCUCCUCCCUGAUAAUCAUCGGCACCCCGUCCUAAAUCGCCGCCCUUCACCAGGCUCCCGACAGGGGUGGGUGUGUGAGAGAGGAGGGGCGCUGGACGAGUCAGGGCUGGCGGCGUGUGAUGGGGCACACCUGAAGGAAAUGGAGCCUCAUCACUGCUGCUGUUUAAAAACCCAACGCGCCUCUCCUCAGGAGACCGGUCUCUUCCCCGUGCAUGCACACUGGUGUCCUCGUGGGUCCAGGAACGGUGCGUUGAGGGACUCCCGCGCCAUCAGAGAUGUGAGCUGCCGGACCCGCGGUCCGAAUGAGGACCGCACCCGUCACACGGCCAUCAGGCCAAAAUGCCAGGCCGUCCACUCCCUGAA